CCCGCUGAACUUAAGCAUAUUAAUAAGACGGAGGAAAAGAAACUAACAAGGAUUCCCUCAGUAACGGCGAGUGAAGCGGGAAUUGCUCAAAUUUGAAAUCUCCAAGGGCAACCUUGGCGAAUUGUAGUUUAGAGAAGCGCUUGCUGGGGUGGGACGCUGUCCAAGUUCUUUGGAACGAGACAUCAGAGAGGGUGAGAAUCCCGUAUCUGGCAGCGAGUAUCCUAUCCCUAUACGGGGCGUUUUCAAAGAGUCGGGUUGUUUGGGAAUGCAGCCCAAAAUGGGUGGUAAAUUUCAUCUAAAGCUAAAUAUGGGCACGAGACCGAUAGCGAACAAGUACCGUGAGGGAAAGAUGAAAAGCACUUUGAAAAGAGAGUUAAAUAGCACGUGAAGCUGUUAAAAUGGAAACGAUUAAAGUUAGCAGUGCUGCCUGGCAAUCAGUCCAUGGAAGCUUGUCGUGGUGGUGGUCGGCGGAGGGCGCAAGCUCACACGGCCAUCUCACAGAUUGGGUAACAUGGGUGCACUUGUUAGGUAAGCGAGUCAGCAUCGGUUUGGCUUGAGUGGGGUAAGGUGCGCGGGAAGGUAGCCUGGUCGGGGCAACUCGGCUGGGUGUUAAGCCUGUGUACUGAGACACCAGCUAGACCGAGGACGGUUGCAGUGCAUGCCACUAGGCGUGGGGCUGCUGGGCAUGGUGCUUUCCAGUUUUGGUUACUGCUUCGCGGUAUGUGGCCGAGAUUGUGAAGGUAUCAGAGUCUGGCGGCAAUCUCAAUGCGCUACAGAUGUUGACAAAAUGGCUUUAACCGACCCGUCUUGAAACACGG
rnacentral:rRNA from 1 species